AAUCACCGCUUCUUAAGGUGGUGUGCAUAGAAAUGAAUAUGCGGGUGACAGCUCGACCGUUAGUUUUGCGAUUCGCUUCCAUCUUUUCCGUUGCUUCGUAGAGUCGCCGUGGAACGGUACUCCCACGGGCGGAUGCGGAUGAGGAUGAUGCAAUCGUACGGUCCGCAUAAAACUGUUGAUGGGCGACACGCGUCACACGCGCAAUUUAAGGGAAUUGCUGAAAUAGGAGACGUGGC
rnacentral:lncRNA from 1 species